AGGACGGAUUCUUGAUUCAUAUCGAAGUUCUUUGUCCCCAAAAACUGUAGAAGCUUUAAUUUGCACUCAACAAUGGCUCAGGUCAACUCCCAAAAAAUACAACAUUGAAGAUAUUCUAGAGGAAAUUCAAAAACUUGAAAUAGUUGAAAAAGGUAAUUUUAUACCUUUAACUCUUUGUGAAUAUGUUUAAGUUUCUGAAUUCAUUUAAUGUUAAUAUUUUAAUUCUUUUCUUUCAGAAUAUCCCGAUGAUGUUUUGAGCAUUGAUUAGCUCAAAUGAUGGAAGCAACUUCUACUAUAUUCUUGUUGCUUGAAAUUCCGGAUGAAUUUUGUUUUAAUUUGCUAUGUGAAAGAGUGUUUUACAGGACCCUAUUAUGAUUUUGUUAUUGUAAUACAACUCUUUUUAAAGUUGGAUGAUGAAAAUGACAUUACUAUUUUCUGUUU